rnacentral:rRNA from 1 species
GACGAACGCUGGCGGCGUGCUUAACACAUGCAAGUCGAACGGAAAGCCCCUGCUUUUGUGGGCUGUUCGAAUCGCGAACGUAUCACUAACACGUGAGUCACCUGCCCCUGACUUUGCGAUAACUUCUUGAAACUGGUACCAAUACCUGAUCGCUUCUCCCGUGGCAUGUUGUGGGUUGGAAUUCUUCGUCGGUUGGGGAUGGACUCGCGGCUUAUCAGCUUGUUGGUGGGGUAGUGGCUUACCAAGGCCUUGACGGGUAGCCGGCCUGAGAGGGUGACCGGCCACAUUGGGACUGAGAUACGGCCCAGACUCCUACGGGAGGCAGCAGUGGGGAAUAUUGCACAAUGGGCGGAAGCCUGAUGCAGCAACGCCGCGUGCGGGAUGACGGCCUUCGGGUUGUAAACCGCUUUCGCCUGUGACGAAGCGUGAGUGACGGUAAUGGGUAAAGAAGCACCGGCUAACUACGUG